GCUGGGCAUAAAAAACCGUACCCGAAGCCCGAACCCGAACUGACCGAGACCGAACCCGAACUGAGCAAAACUUCGGUCUUCGGUUAGUAACUCGGUCUUGUGCUUGCAGUGACCGAAAUAAUCUCGAGCUGUUCGGUCGUCACUGCCAGGAGAGACCGAAUUGCCCGAAGAGACCGGCCAUUCUUCCCGAGCGCAUGGAUUAUCCCAAUGUUUCUCUAGAUUCCCCUCUUUAGAUCUCACUUCUGUUCUUGUUGACCUGCCAACAGCGGAGGAGGGGACAUGCCUUAGCGCCGCCACACCCCAAUUCGACCCCACCACAGCCACAUCUAUCAGCCCGCCUCUCCAUCCCCGGUCGCCGGCCACACUGCCUCGCCGCCAGCAAACCGUCGACCUGGCCGCCGGCAGCGAGCCGAACCACCUGGCCGCGACCACGCCGUAUCUCCGACCUUGGGCGCUGCCGCCGGACCUCUGCGACAGGCCACAGCACCACGCAGAUGCAGCUCUGCCCGUGGCUCCUCUGCUCCUGUGUUUGCGAUAAUUGCUUCAAAAGUUUGGUGAAAAGCGCGAGAGGGAAGCGCAAGGCCGAUGGUUCAGCUGCCGAUGCAUCCGCGGCCUUGGGCAAGUCAAGCAAGGUUGCUUGAUGAAUGGUUGCGCACGUCCCAGCAACUUCUAUUAUCUAUGUGCACUUGUCAACUGUUAUUUGUCAACUUUGUUUGAGAAUGUGAGAUUGAAACUUAUUAUUUGUUAUUUUGUGCUGGCAAGUGCUAACGUAUGAUAGUGUGCUUC